CCUACGGGAGGCACCAGUGGGGAAUAUUGCACAAUGGGCGCAAGCCUGAUGCAGCCAUGCCGCGUGUAUGAAGAAGGCCUUCGGGUUGUAAAGUACUUUCAGCGGGGAGGAAGGUGUUGAGGUUAAUAACCUCGGCAAUUGACGUUACCCGCAGAAGAAGCACCGGCUAACUCCGUGCCAGCAGCCGCGGUAAUACGGAGGGUGCAAGCGUUAAUCGGAAUUACUGGGCGUAAAGCGCACGCAGGCGGUCUGUCAAGUCGGAUGUGAAAUCCCCGGGCUCAACCUGGGAACUGCAUUCGAAACUGGCAGGCUGGAGUCUUGUAGAGGGGGGUAGAAUUCCAGGUGUAGCGGUGAAAUGCGUAGAGAUCUGGAGGAAUACCGGUGGCGAAGGCGGCCCCCUGGACAAAGACUGACGCUCAGGUGCGAAAGCGUGGGGAGCAAACAGGAUUAGAUACCCCGGUAGUC
rnacentral:rRNA from 1 species